AUGUUGGACACGGUGACAUGUUGGACACAAUGACAUGUUGGACAAAGUGACAUAUUGUACACAUUUACAUGUUGGACACAGUGACAUAUUGGACACAUUUACAUGUUGGACACAGUGAGAAGGUGGGCACAGUGACAUAUUGGACACAUUUACAUGUUGGACACAGUGACAUAUUGGCCACAGUGACGUAUUGGAGACAUUUAUAUGUUGGACACAGUGACAUGUUGGCCACAGUGACGUAUUGGACACAGUGACAUGUUGGACAGAGUGACAGGUUGGACACAGUGACAUGUUGGACGCAGUGACAUGUUGACCACAGUGACAUAUUGGACACAGUGACAUGUUUGACAGAGUGACAUGUUAGACACAGUGACAUAUUGGACACAGUGACAUAUUGGACACAGUGACAUAUUGGACACAGUGACAUAUUGGACACAGUGACAUGUUGGACACAGUGACAUGUUGGACAGAGUGACAUGUUAGACACAGUGACAUAUUUGACACAGUGACAUGUUGACCACAGUGACAUAUUGGACACAGAGACAUUUUGGACACAUUUACAUGUUGGACACAGUGACAUUUUGGACACAGUGACAUGUUGGACACAGUGACAUAUUGGACACAGUGACAUAUUGGACACAUUUACAUGUUGGACACAGUGACAUGUUGAACACAGUGACAUAUUGGACACAUUUACAUGUUGGACACAGUGACAUGUUGGACAGAGUGACAUGUUGGUCACAUUUACAUGUUGGACACAGUGACAUAUUGGCCACAGUGACGUAUUGGAGACAUUUACAUUUGGACACAGUGACAUGUUGGUCACAGUGACGUAUUGGGGACAUUCACAUGUUGGACACAGUGACAUGUUGGACGCUGUGACAUGUUGACCACAGUGACAUGUUGGACACAGUGACAUAUUGGACACAUUUACAUGUUGGACACAUUUACAUGUUGGACACAGUGACAUGUUGGACACAGUGACAUGUUGGCCACAGUGACGUAUUGGAGACAUUGACAUGUUGGACAGAGUGACAGGUUGGACACAGUGACAUGUUGGACGCAGUGACAUGUUGACCACAGUGACAUAUUGGACACAGUGACAUGUUUGACAGAGUGACAUGUUAGACACAGUGACAUAUUGGACACAGUGACAUAUUGGACACAGUGACAUAUUGGACACAGUGACAUAUUGGACACAGUGACAUGUUGGACACAGUGACAUGUUGGACAGAGUGACAUGUUAGACACAGUGACAUAUUUGACACAGUGACAUGUUGACCACAGUGACAUAUUGGACACAGAGACAUUUUGGACACAUUUACAUGUUGGACACAGUGACAUUUUGGACACAGUGACAUGUUGGACACAGUGACAUAUUGGACACAGUGACAUAUUGGACACAUUUACAUGUUGGACACAGUGACAUGUUGGACAGAGUGACAUGUUGGUCACAUUUACAUGUUGGACACAGUGACAUAUUGGCCACAGUGACGUAUUGGAGACAUUUACUUUUGGACACAGUGACAUGUUGGACACAGUGACAUGUUGGUCACAGUGACGUAUUGGGGACAUUCACAUGUUGGACACAGUGACAUGUUGGACGCUGUGACAUGUUGACCACAGUGACAUGUUGGACACAGUGACAUAUUGGACACAUUUACAUGUUGGACACAUUUACAUGUUGGACACAGUGACAUGUUGGACACAGUGACAUGUUGGCCACAGUGACGUAUUGGAGACAUGUACAUGUUUUACAAAGUGACAUGUUGGACGCAAUGACAUGUUGGAGACAGUGACAUGUUGGACACAGUGACAUAUUGGACACAUCUACAUGUUGGACACAGUGACAUGUUGAACACAGUGACAUAUUGGACACAGUGACAUGUUGGACACAGUGACAUGUUGGCCACAGUGAAGUAUUGGAGACAUUUACAUGUU
rnacentral:lncRNA from 1 species